rnacentral:rRNA from 1 species
UAGGGAAUAUUGGGCAAUGGGCGCAAGCCUGACCCAGCAACGCCGCGUGAGGGAAGAAGGUUUUCGGAUUGUAAACCUCUGUCCUAUGUGACGAAGGAAGUGACGGUAGCAUAGGAGGAAGCCCCGGCUAACUACGUGCCAGCAGCCGCGGUAAUACGUAGGGGGCGAGCGUUGUCCGGAAUUACUGGGCGUAAAGGGUGCGUAGGCGGUUUGGUAAGUUGGAUGUGAAAUACCCGGGCUUAACUUGGGGGCUGCAUCCAAUACUGCUGAACUUGAGUGCAGGAGAGGAAAGCGGAAUUCCCGGUGUAGCGGUGAAAUGCGUAGAGAUCGGGAGGAACACCAGUGGCGAAGGCGGUUUACUGGACCAUUACUGACGCUGAGACACGAAAGCGUGGGGAGCAAACAGGAUUAGAUACCCUGGUAGU